rnacentral:lncRNA from 1 species
AACCUUUGCUGUCUUGGAACAGAUCACCACUGCAAGAGGGGAAGUUGCUACUGUGAUGAAUUCUGCCAUGUGGUACCAGACUGCUACCCAGACCACAGUGUCCUCUGCAACCCUCGUAACUCACAUACAGGCCUGAUUCCACCUACAGCAAAGCUGGAUGCUAUGGUUGGCAGAGGCAAACCCUUUGCCUGCACUUCAGGCCAAAGCCGGGAUGUGGCCUAGAUGGUUCCUAAGGUCCCUGACAAUCCUGAGAUCUUGCAUCUUGUCUAUUUCAGGUCAAAGGUGCCUACAUGUUCCUUCUAGCUUUGUUUCCCUGAUGUUCCUUGCCACCUGCUACUCCUCUCUGAGCUACUUUUCCAGGUUCCACAGGGAGAGGUUCAGCUGUCCGUGGUAGACAUGAGGGUAGAGAAUGAGGUGGUUGGGUUCCACUUACCUUUCUAUCAUCUUGCAGUAUGGAUGUCUCUUGACUGGUACCAUGUAGACUUUUGAGGGCACACAGGAGUCUGCAGAGAGAUACUGGGGACAUUGAGUAGCAGCGGUGGGGUUGGGAGGCAGAAAUGAGGACAGGAACAUUUACCUUGUGUUUCUCUCAGCUUCUCAGAUGACCAAGAUGGUGCUGCAGAUGGUGCUGAGGAUGGAGAACCCACCAAGCCCCGCUAGGAGCCACCUAGACUGGAUGUAGAGCAUGGCUAAAACCUUUGAAGAGGAAUUUAUUAUAUCCUACAAACCUGGGAGGCAGAGGUUGCAGUGAACUGGGAUUGCGCCACUGCACUCCAGCCUAGGCGACAGAGCAAG